UACGUAGGGUGCGAGCGUUAUCCGGAAUUAUUGGGCGUAAAGAGCUCGUAGGCGGCCUGUCGCGUCGGAUGUGAAAGCCCGGGGCUUAACCCCGGGUCUGCAUUCGAUACGGGCAGGCUAGAGUGUGGUAGGGGAGAUCGGAAUUCCUGGUGUAGCGGUGAAAUGCGCAGAUAUCAGGAGGAACACCGGUGGCGAAGGCGGAUCUCUGGGCCGAUACUGACGCUGAGGAGCGAAAGCAUGGGUAGCGAACAGG
rnacentral:rRNA from 1 species